rnacentral:rRNA from 1 species
AUGGCGUCCGGGUGGGGCAUCAACGGGAACAAGGGGCGGUGCUACGACUUCUGGCUGGACUUCAGCUCGUGCAUGAGCCGCUGCCGCCAGCCCUCCGACUGCGGCCUCCUCCGCGAGGACUACCUCGAGUGCCUCCACCACUCCAAGGAGUUCCAACGCAGGAACAGGAUCUACAAGGAGGAGCAACGUCAGAUAAGAGCUGCUGCUCGCAAGGCCAAGGAGGAAGCCGAAGGAGCUCCUGCUGUUGCAGCUCACCACUAG